rnacentral:rRNA from 1 species
AUGAAGCGGAUGCCACCUUCCGUGCACGACAUGGAAGGCCUGCCAUUCAUGAAGCAUGGUUGUGUCUUCAGUGCGCACCGCCGGAUGAACGACAAGCUGGGACACGCUAUCCCUGAUUUAUGCCGCUUCAGCUUGGAUGAGUCUCCAUCGUGUGGAACCAGACUAGAAAGCUGCGACAAUGAUUCCAGUUGCCCACCGCUAUGGAUUGUGCCAUCCAUGAAGAACACCUGGGACUGGAACCUGGAGGAGGACAUCAGACGCAAAUGCGCCGGCCUUCAUGAUUCGAGGACCUGGAAUCAUACCAGCCGAUGGUACCAUAUAACUGGAAUUAAGCCAUGCAAGUCGAAGAAGGAUUGGUCGGUGCUGCCGGCUGGCGUCAAGUUCGAUCCCAUGGAUCAGGAGCUAAUCGAGCACCUUGAGGCCAAAGUGAGUGCUGACAGCGCGAGAUCUCACCCUCUCAUCGAUUUGUUCAUACCAACCAUCGACAGCGAGCACGACAUAUGCUACACCCAUCCUGAGAAACUUCCAGGUAUCACACUGAGUGGCCUAAGAAAGCAUUUCUUCCAGUGCAAUUCCAGGGCGUUCAAAAGGGGCACGUGGACGCGUCGCAAGAUACAGUCGGAGUGCGGCAUGCACACGAUGUGGCACAACACCGGCAAUACCUUGCCGGUGAUGGUCAACGGCCGGCAGACGGGCAGCAAAAAGGUUCUGGUGCUGCACACCAACAAGAACUUCGACCAGCAGAGGACCAACUGGGUGAUGCACCAGUACCACCUCGGGGACCUGGAGCAAGAGAAGGAGCGGGAGCUGGUCGAGCAAGUUUCAACUGGGCUGUAG